AUUCAGUAUCUUACUCAAAUGACAACGCGGUGAGCAGAUUGACGGCUGUAAGCUGGCGCCCAGCACUCCUGUGGCUCAUCUAGUCCUGGCACCAUUUAAAGAAUUAAAUGGAGAGAUGACGUGGCCAUGUCCUGAUGCUAUUUUUAUGAGAGCCAGUCCCAUACUUGUUUACCUCCAUAAAAAGGCCAAUAGGAAUCGAAGUGCACGGCUGGGGAGGGCCGGGGUAUGUGUGCCUCAUGUCCACAAUAAACUUGCAGAUAGUCACUCUUCCAGCAUAAAAGACAGGUAACUGGAGAAGUGGUAAGAGUUUCUGUCACUGAUGAGACAGUGGAUCAUCUCCUGAAGGAGGCUGGUGAGGCUAUCUGCCAGGAGGUUCCACAGUCCAUCUGGAGAUGGACCAGUGCUGGUAACCCUCCCUCUGCCAGGAGAUUGCUCUACGCAUGCGGUAUUUGACGGGGGAGACGUGGCCUUUGACAGAACCCAUGCUGUGCUGUAGCGACAAGGAAGAGUUUUGCGUUCUUUGCAUUUAAGCUUCACAGAAUUUCCCGUUGUGGGCUGUGGAAAACCAGUAGCAAAAUGGUUCACGGCACAGGGAAAAUGAGUGGCACUUCAUGAAAUGAAUUAACUGAUACCACAAUAUUAGUUCAAAAAAAGGCGAGGCAAAAAACUGAAACUAAAAAGAACUUUCUUAGGGGAGCAAAGGGGGGCAGGAAGGAGGCGGGGAAGAGUGUUUCAUGCUUCUCAAUGUGAUGUUAUCCUGACAAUGUAUACCCUUAAGGAGCAUGCGACUCAAUUUCAAAAGUAUUACGUAUACAGAGAUUCAAAUGACACCUUUGGAAGAGAGGGGUGUGACAGACUUAAUUAUAUUUGAGAUCCAAAUAGAGGCUGAACUCAAUACGAUAGCAGCUGGGAGGAGACUAAGCAUUCUGCUUACAGAGACCAGUCUUGGUUAUUUAUUUCUUUGACUGUUUUCAGAUGGGAUCGACAUAAUAUAUUAACAACCAAAGGAAUUUACAACUAUAAAGUCUCUGACACGGUAACAGACCACAUGAAAACUCUACAAUUGAAUAACUGAAAAUGAAAUCCUCUAUCAUUGAUAAGUGGAAAGCAUAGAAGGACUUCAACAAGCUAAAACUUUCUACAGCUUGUUUGUCUGCUCUGACACGUACACCCUGACCUGUGAAAGGCCUGUGUUGAAGCAUUCAUGGACUAUCCACGGCUUCUCAGUUUAGGAUUACCACUGGGGAAAUUCCACGUAACAGCACAAAGAAGUCUUUGCCAGACAGUCGGAGUUCCAUGGCAGAGGGCAUACAGGGGCUCUGAGCGGCUGAUUCCAGAAAGCUUAGCUUUAUACGAUCACCGUUUAGGGGAAGAAGGACCGGAAAUACAUUUGGACCUGCUGAGAGCUGGCAAAAAAAAAUCUUAAGAAGAUAAGGCAUUUUUGUUAACACUGCCACCAAAUCCCAAGACUGCCUGUGGCAUUAUUGACACGCCUAACAGACCCACAGGGGCUCACAGCGUGUUUGUGGACUGGAGUCUGCAGGGUGACUAUCGGUGCCUGGUGACAGGAAUAACUGUUCCCACAGCACAGUGCUUCCCAAACUCUUAUGUGCACGUGAAUCACAUGGGGAUCUCGGGAAUGUGGAUUCUGAUUCCAGGGGUCUGCCGUGGGGCCUGAGAGUCUGCAUUUUGGACAAGCUCCCAGGUGAUGCUGAUGCUUCUGGCCCAUGAACCACACUUUAAGCAGCAAGGUUAUAGGGGACGGCAUCUUAGGGUCUUCUCCGUAAUUGGUAUGUUUUGGGAGAGGCAGGCUUGGAUCCCUGUAAUAAACUAAGCUAUAUAAGAACUUAGAUAUCACAACAUAAGGUGAAAUCAGGCAUUUUACUCUCAUGGAAUAAACAGUAAUAUGGAAAUUCGAGACAGGUCAUGAGCAGCUGUUCAUUUAACAAGCUCUCGUGAAAACCCUACUACAUGUAAAGCUUUGUGCCAAUAGUUACCAUGAACAGUAUAAAGAUGGGUUUAAGGUAUGUAUAGUAGGCGACACGUUACCAUGUGGGUUGUCAACUUUGGUAAAGGCUUCCGCUUUCUGCUUCAGUGGACUAAGUGGGCUUUGCACGUUUAAAUUGAAGUUUGGAAGGAAAGUAGUAUAAUUACUUAUUUGUGUGCAAAAAUUAGUAAUGCCGAUUAAGGCCAUUUAGAUUUGCUGAUCGUACUUAACACCGUAUUUUCCACUGUUUAUUAUUGGAGUAAUUAUUUGUGUCAAAGUAAUUUCUGAGGGAACAUGGUGUAAUUUAUCUCAAGUCCCAGUUAGAUGAUCUUGGUAUUUCAGCCUCUUGAAUAGUAGCAGGAGACAUAGGUUUUUAAAUGGGUGCUGGU